AUGGACCGAGUGCCCUUCGACGUAAUGCUGUGUACUGGUGAGGAGCAUUCUAUCUCCAUUGCUAUGUUGACUUCAUCGUUGUCACUGCAAGAUGGAAAGUAUGCAGUGAUCAAAACCCCAACAUGCGACCAGAAAUCAAAUGGGUAUUUUGGAAAAUCGAAGCAAAGGAUCUACUACACCGCUGUCAUCGGGUACCAAAUUUCGGUAUGGGUAUUACAAGAGGCAUCAGAGACAUGUCAAACCCUACAGUGGGCGCUAAGGCAUCAAAAUGACCUUGAGCAUGAUUUUCAGCAACACUGUAACCGACACCUUAUAGGAGAUGAUAUUGGCAAGUCUUGGACAUUGGAUCCCUGUAUGGAAGAAUCAAGUGACAAAGGGGACAAUAGAUGGGACUCUAGUGAUGACAGCGUCACUGAUGCAUUAGAAGAAGGGAUCAACGGCAAUGAGGGUUAUAAAAAUUGCUACUAUGGAAUGGAUUUUUUGGGCUAUCACCCUGAAAGGGAAAUUGUUUUCCUGGGCAGCCAUUAUAGCGGGUUUGCUUACUACUUAGAUAGAAGCUAG
rnacentral:rRNA from 1 species